CAGUUAACUCUGCUGUACAAAUGUGAAUGUCUUCUGGACAGAAAAGAAGGUGGGCUGGAACUGGAGUGCUGGAAGUGCAGUCAUGGGUGCUUUGAGAUGCAAUGACUUGUGAAGGCACAGUGAGCCAUCCUACUGAGGCCUUGUGUGGGCGUCCACAGACAGCCAGACUCUCCAGGGCCAGGAGCUCCCACCUGGGAAGUGAGUUCAUAUUGAAGCUCCUGUUCCACUUGCUAUCUACAACUCUGCCUCUGCCUGGAAGUCAGAGAGCCUUGAGUUUUGAAACCUCCCAUCCUCAGAAAGAUGUAAGAAGAGAAUCCCACUUCUGCCAUUUGGGCUCACACUGGAUUC